UAACUCUGGUUUCCCUUCAAAACGCAUAAAUCUUUCGCCUUUUACUAAAGAUUUCCGUGGAGGGGAACACUCAAAUGAGUCUAUCAUAUUUUUUUGAAUACUUUGCUUCGGCAAAGUU